GAUGAAGAACGCAGCGAAAUGCGAUACUUGGUGUGAAUUGCAGAAUCCCGUGAACCAUCGAGUCUUUGAACGCAAGUUGCGCCCGAAGCCACUAGGCCGAGGGCACGCCUGCCUGGGCGUCACACGUCGUUGCCCCCCACCAUCUACUCCUUCGGGAUUGCGGGGGGCGGAUGAUGGCCUCCCGUGCGCCUAGCCGCGCGGUUGGCAUAAAUACCAAGUCCUCGGCGACGCACGCCACGACAAUCGGUGGUUGCGAAACCUCAGUUGCCCGUCGUGUGCGUUCGUCGCGCAUCGAGGGCUCGAAAAAAUGCUCGGCUCCGGCUCGGCUUUCAACGCGACCCCAGGUCAGGCGGGGUUACCCGCUGAAUUUAAGCAUAUCAAUAAGCGGAGGA
rnacentral:misc_RNA from 1 species